GGCGUAGGAGGGAGGAAAGUCCGGACUCCACAGGGCAGAGGAUCCGUUCGUCAAGGACGGAAGGUGCGAAGUGAUUUCGCACGAUGGAAAGUGCCACAGAAAAAAAGUAGCUGUUGGUGAUGAGCUGUUAGCGGUUAGCUGUUAGCGGUUCGUUCUGGCAGUCAUAGUGAAAGGGUAGCGUAAGAGACUACCGGCUCGCGUUGAGAGGCGCGGGCGCAGGGCAAACCCUCCUCGGAGCAAGAUCAAAUAGGGAACCGACCGGCUGCCCGUCGGGCGUCCGUUCCGCAAGGGGCGGGCUAAGGUUUCGGGUUGAUUGCGUUAGAUGAAUGAUCGGAUCCUCCUAUGCCCUUCGGGGUUGCAGAGGAGAACAGAAUCUGGCUUAUUCGCCG
rnacentral:RNase_P_RNA from 1 species